rnacentral:rRNA from 1 species
UACGGGGGAUGCAAGUGUUAUCCGGAAUAAUUGGGCGUAAAGCGUCUGUAGGUGGUUGACCAAGUCUGUUGUUAAAAAUCAGGGCUCAACCCUGAUCCGGCAACAGAAACUAGUAAACUUGAGUACGGUAGGGGCAGAGGGAAUUCUCGGUGUAGUGGUGAAAUACGUAGAUAUCGAGAAGAACACCAAUAGCGAAAGCACUCUGCUGGGCCGAAACUGACAUUGAGAGACGAAAGCUAGGGGAGCAAAUGGG